AUUGAACGCUGGCGGCAUGCUUUACACAUGCAAGUCGAACGGCAGCGCGGGCUUCCGCCUGGCGGCGAGUGGCGAACGGGUGAGUAAUGCAUCGGAACGUGCCCAGUAGUGGGGGAUAGCCCGGCGAAAGCCGGAUUAAUACCGCAUACGACCUGAGGGUGAAAGCGGGGGACCGAAAGGCCUCGCGCUAUUGGAGCGGCCGAUGUCGGAUUAGCUAGUUGGUGGGGUAAAGGCUUACCAAGGCGACGAUCCGUAGCUGGUCUGAGAGGACGACCAGCCACACUGGGACUGAGACACGGCCCAGACUCCUACGGGAGGCAGCAGUGGGGAAUUUUGGACAAUGGGGGCAACCCUGAUCCAGCCAUGCCGCGUGCGGGAAGAAGGCCUUCGGGUUGUAAACCGCUUUUGUUCGGGAAGAAAUCCUCUGGGCUAAUACCCCGGGGGGAUGACGGUACCGGAAGAAUAAGCACCGGCUAACUACGUG
rnacentral:rRNA from 1 species